CUCUCGUCGCGUAUCUUAUCCCCGUUAAGCACAGUGCCUCAUAUCUCUCCGUACGGGGAAGGAUGAGAAGCUUCGACUAAGGUUCGAUUCGAGCGAAAGCGAGAAAGCGUUGCCAACGGCAACGACCCGAAGGGCGAAGCGCGCAGCGCUGAGUAAUCCUUCCCCCACCACCA
rnacentral:sRNA from 2 species